rnacentral:rRNA from 1 species
CUACGGGAGGCUCCAGUGAGGAAUAUUGCACAAUGGAGGAAACUCUGAUGCAGCAACGCCGCGUGGAGGAUGACGCAUUUCGGUGUGUAAACUCCUUUUAUGAGUCAAGAAAAUGACGGUAGCUCAUGAAUAAGCACCGGCUAACUCCGUGCCAGCAGCCGCGGUAAUACGGAGGGUGCAAGCGUUACUCGGAAUCACUGGGCGUAAAGGACGCGUAGGCGGGAUAUCAAGUCAGGUGUGAAAUCCUACAGCUUAACUGUAGAACUGCACUUGAAACUGGUAACCUAGAGUAUGGGAGGGGGAGAUGGAAUUAGUGGUGUAGGGGUAAAAUCCGUAGAUAUCACUAGGAAUACCUAAAGCGAAGGCGAUCUCCUGGAACAUAACUGACGCUAAGGCGUGAAAGCGUGGGGAGCAAACAGGAUUAGAUACCCCAGUAGUC